AAUAACCUUAUUUCUCGUUUUUCCGUGUCCAACGUUUGACCAUUCGUCUUAUUUGAAAAAUUUUUAAAAAACGUAAAAAAAUUAGUUACGUAUAAAAUAUUAUUCAUAUUUUAUCAUCUAGUAACAAUAAAAAUAUUAAUCUUUAAAUUUUUUUCAAAUAAGACGAAUGGUCAAACGUUGGACAUGGAAAAAC
rnacentral:pre_miRNA from 1 species